GCCAGCAUAGUGUAGUGGUUUGAGCAUUGGACUACAGCUCUGAGAUCAGGGUUUGAUUCCCUGCUUGGCC